UACGUAGGGGCCAAGCGUUGUCCGGAAUUAUUGGGCGUAAAGAGCUCGUAGGCGGUCUGUCGCGUCGGAUGUGAAAGCCCGGGGCUUAACCCCGGGUCUGCAUUCGAUACGGGCAGACUAGAGUGUGGUAGGGGAGAUCGGAAUUCCUGGUGUAGCGGUGAAAUGCGCAGAUAUCAGGAGGAACACCGGUGGCGAAGGCGGAUCUCUGGGCCAUUACUGACGCUGAGGAGCGAAAGCGUGGGGAGCGAACAGG
rnacentral:rRNA from 1 species